GUGUCAGCAGCCGCGGUAAUACAGAGGUCCCAAGCGUUGUUCGGAUUCACUGGGCGUAAAGGGUGCGUAGGUGGCGAAGUAAGUCGGAUGUGAAAUCUCCGAGCUCAACUCGGAAACUGCAUUGGAAACUACUUUGCUCGAGGGUUGGAGGGGGGACUGGAAUACUUGGUGUAGCAGUGAAAUGCGUAGAUAUCAAGUGGAACACCAGUGGCGAAGGCGAGUCCCUGGACAACUCCUGACACUGAGGCACGAAAGCUAGGGGAGCAAACAGGAUUAGAAACCCCAGUAGUCC
rnacentral:rRNA from 1 species